UCAAACUUGGUCAUUUAGAGGAAGUAAAAGUCGUAACAAGGUUUCCGUAGGUGAACCUGCGGAAGGAUCAUUACCGAGUGCGGGCCUUCUAGGUCCAACCUCCCACCCGUGUUUAUUGUACCUUGUUGCUUCGGCGGGCCCGCGCCCGCCGAAGACACCCUCGAACCCUGUCUGAAGAUUGCAGUCUGAGUGGAAUGAUAAAUCAGUUAAAACUUUCAACAACGGAUCUCUUGGUUCCGGCAUCGAUGAAGAACGCAGC
rnacentral:misc_RNA from 1 species